rnacentral:rRNA from 1 species
AUGAGACUGGAAUACAGAAAAACAAUUAAAGACAAUACUGUAAGUAGAGUCCUCUUGGUUUGUGGGAAAUACGGCAAGCCAAAAACAAACAAGGAGGAGAUAGAGGAUGUGCAGGACCCAAAAGGCAUCGUGAAGAAUAGGAAAAGAGGGAAGGUUGUGAGGUCGGGAUGUCUGGCCCACCUUUAAAUCACCCACACGAAUGCAUGGUGGAGAGUCAUACGCUUCAACGACGACCACAACCACCCUCUAAUAAGAAAGCCGUCCUUGACAAAGUUCCUAUCAACACAUAGGAACAUUCCAAAAGAUGAGCAGGACUUCUUGAAGAUAUUGCACGGAUGCAACAUAGAGACAGCAAGACAGAUGCAACUAAUGGAAUGGUUCUACGGGAAUCCUAAAGAUGUACCAUACACAACAAAGGACAUCGCAAACCAGCGAGCUAAAUUCCGGAUGGAGUACCGCCAUGCUGAUGUGGGGAGCACAAUCUCGUACUUCCAAGAUAUGAAGGCACAAGAUCCAGAUUUCUAUUGGAGAAUAAAGCUUGAUGAUGAGGACAGAGUGGAAAAUUUAUUCUGGAUAGAUGGUGCAUCGCGUAGGGCAUAUGCUAGAUACAAUGAUGUCAUCUCAUUUGACACAACAUACAUGACAAACAUGUACAAAAUGCCAUGUGCACCCUUCAUUGGCAUUAAUAACCAUGGGCAGUCAAUCCAAUUUGGUUGUGGGUUUGUUCGAAACGAACUAUCUGGUAACUUUGUGUGGCUGUUUAAUGCAUUCUUGCAUGCAAUGGGUGGAAUUGCGCCAAAGAACAUAAUAAUAGAUCAAGAUUUUGCAAUGAAGAGUGCUAUUGAUGAGGUGUUCAUCGGGAUAGUACACAGGAAUUGCCGCUGGCAUAUAAUGAAAAAAGCACAAGAGAAGCUUGGGAAGCUGAUGGCUGACAAUGACCCACUAAACAAUGCAUUCAAGGAUUGUGUUGACAACAGCCUGACUGGUAUUUUACUUCCCACCCCUCACUAA